AGCCCAUAAGCUAGCUUAAACAAUAAACACAUCACAACCCUAUUAACUAAACCCUCAAACRUUAUACCUAAACAAUUAAAUCAUUUUCCUAUUCUCAGUAAGGGAGACUGAAAAGAAUAACUCACUAAAGCUACAGAUAAAGUACCGCAAGGGAAAGCUGAAAAAGAUAUGAAAUAGCCCAGUAAAGCCCAUAAAAGCAGAGACACCCCCUCGUACCUUUUGCAUCAUGAUUUAGCUAGUACCAUCAAGCAAAGCGUACUUUAGUUUGAUACCCCGAAACUGAGGGAGCUACUUCAAGACCGCCUAAAAAUAGGGCAAACCCUUCCCUGUGGCAAAAGGGUGGGAAGAUCUUCAAGUAGAGGUGACAAACCUAACGAACUCAGUUAUAGCUGGUUGCCCGAGAAUUGAAUGUAAGUUCAGCCUCUCAGCUCCUUCCUUCCUUAAUUAAAAUACUUCAGGGACCAAGGAACUAAGAGAGUUAUUCAAAAGAGGUACAGCUCUUUUGAAAAAAGACACAACUUUAUUUAGAAGGUUAAAAAUUAUAAUAUUUAAAGAAGCCCCUCUGAGUAGGCCUAGAAGCAGCCACCUCCAUAGAUAGCGUUAAAGCUUAAAGAAACAGCAACCUUAUAAUACUAAUAAGUAAAUUUGAUACCCCUAAAAAAUAUCGAGCCUCCCUAUACAUCAAAAUAUAGGAAAGACUAUGCUAAUAUGAGUAAUAAGAGAAUAAUAAUGCUUCUCUCCCAGCACAAGUGUAAAACGGAACGGACAUACCACCGAAAAUUAAACAGACCCACCAUAUAGAGGGAAAUGAGAAAAGCUUAAAAAUACAAGAAACCCCCUCAUAAUAACUAGCCUGUUGACCUCACACUAGAGUGCCCGCGGAAAGACUAAAAGGGAAGGAAGGAACUCGGCAAAUAAUCUCUUUUAAAGCUUCGCCUGUUUACCAAAAACAUCGCCUCUUGUCACCUAAAAAUAAGAGGUACUGCCUGCCCAGUGACCUAAAAGUUUAACGGCCGCGGUAUUCUGACCGUGCAAAGGUAGCGUAAUCACUUGUCCUUUAAAUGAAGACCUGUAUGAAUGGCGCCACGAAAGCUUAACUGUCUCCCUCCCCCAGUCAAUGAAAUUGAUCUCCCCGUGCAGAAGCGGGGAUAAAAACAUAAGACGAGAAGACCCUGUGGAGCUUUAGAUACUAAAUCCGGACCAUAUACAUGCCAACAAAUAAAUUAAGUGCAUAAAACAUAUCGUAACCGAAUUGAUAUCUUUGGUUGGGGCGACCAUGGGGAAAUAAAAAACCCCCAAGAGGAAAGAAGCACUACCCCUUUUACACCGCUUCCACAAAAAAGGUUAACAAACCUAAUUCACAAAACCUUUGACCUAUAAUGAUCCGGCAAAGCCGAUCAACGAACCGAGUUACCCCAGGGAUAACAGCGCAAUCCUCUUCAAGAGCCCCUAUCGACAAGAGGGUUUACGACCUCGAUGUUGGAUCAGGACAUCCUAAUAGUGCAGCCGCCAUUAAGGGUUCGUUUGUUCAACGAUUAAAGUCCUACGUGAUCUGAGUUCGGACCGGAGUAAUCCAGGUCAGUUUCUAUCUAUGAUAGUUUCUUUUCUAGUACGAAAGGACCGAAAAGAAAAGGCCUAUGCUAAAGCACGCCUAACCUUGAUACUAUUGAUGUUACUCAAAUAGAGACAAAUACUUAAUAUAGCUAUAGACAUAUAGCAU
rnacentral:rRNA from 1 species